GCCGGGCAUGGUGACGCGUGCCUGUAAUCCCAGCUACUCGGGAGGCUGAGGCAGAAGAAUCACUUGAGCCUGGGAGGCAGAGGUUGCUGUAAACCUAGAUCACACCACUGCACUCCAGCCUAGGCGACAGAGUGAGACCCUGUCUCAA
ensembl:misc_RNA Metazoa_SRP Metazoan signal recognition particle RNA